CGCCUAGCUAGGUUUCUAUGGAGCAUCCACUUAGUUAACUUAAUCCACGCCUCUCCUUUGUUUAUUACACCUCUUCCAAGCAAUAAACUACCGCAGAUUAACUUGUGGUCGCUAAGCGCUCGCGAGUCGGGUAAAUCUCAGCGUGCGGCCAGGAACUAACAUGACGGAAGCUUCGUUCUGCACGCAGAGACGGAAGCUUGUUUAUUUGAUCUGCAUUAGUGCAACAGCGAGACGCUGGCCGCUCAGAAGGCCGCGGCGUGCGCACGCAUCCCACCAAACCGGAUCGCCGGAUUUCCUUUCGCGCAAUACAACGGUGCAAGAAUCUCCGGGCGGACGCCGGAAGCCGCUAGCUUUUGUGCAAAAGCUAGUCGGGGUCAGGAAUCUUCGGACAUUGGAUAAAGCCGUACACAAUAUAAAAAGCGGGGUCAGGACGAAGGUCGAACCAGUUCCGAAGCUAUGCGCAAGGAAGCUUCGGCUCAACGACAGAAAGGAGAACCGGCUUAAAGGGGAAAAGGCUAUCUAGUCCUUGUUGGAUUGUCAUUAAGUCAAUAGUAAACAUAAAGGGCAUGAAUGUAAUUUUACACAGGCUGCGCCUUGUGCCUAUAAAUAGAUGAACAGUACCCCCGUACUGUUCACUCUGAUUUGUACUCGCUCGUGCGUCACACUUGUACUUUUGCCUUCUGUCAAGCCGAAGGUACAAAUGUAAUUCAAUAUUGUUCUUAUUCA